UUAGUGUUGCCAAUCAACCUAUCCCCAGGUGCAUGUCUUUGGAAGUGGGAGGAAGCCGGAGUACCCGGAGGGAACUCACGCAUUCACGGGGAGAACAUGCAAACUCCACACAGAAAGAUCCCGAGCCUGGAUUUGAACCCAGGACUGCAGGACCUUCGUAUUGUGAGGCAGACACACUAACCCCUCUUCCACCGUGAAGCCCAUCAAUUCAAUCAAAAAAAAGCCAUUCCUACUGUGAUUGCAAAUUCUAGUUUUGAACAGGUAGGCAAAACAUUUCUAAACACCAAAAAACGUUUUCAUGUCAUCAUGACGGGGUAAUUGCGUGUAGAAUUUUGAGGACAAAUAAGAAUGUAUUCCAUUAUGAGAGAAAGCUUACGCUGCUGUGAUUGGUCCAAUGGCUGGGUUAAUGGUGUCCAAGUUGUCCAGGUAGUUGAAGCGUCUGGUGUCUUUGGGACAUCUGUCAGCGUCUCUCCAAGGCGGAACUUUCUCCUUCUUCGAUCUGCCGCCAAACCUCCUCCUGGCGUCCUGCUCGUCACUUCGCUGAGGAACAUCUGACACUUCCUGCUUGCCUGGCAGAGGAACAUCUGACACCUCCCGCUUGCUGCUCGCUGCAACCUCGGAGGAUGUCCUUCACCUUCUGGACGUACUGUCUCUUCCACGCGCCUCCUUCAAACUGCGAGGGCCAGAAGGUGAGGAACCAGCCCAGUCUCACGCACUUGGGCAUCCACACCUGGUCCAUUUCCGCCAGGCUCCUCCAGCGCCAGCUCACCUGUGUCACGCAGUGCGUCGUGUCAGCGCCAAGCUGGACUCUUGACGCUGCGGGUUACGUGCGGGACUCCUGGAACUCAUGGAGGAUCAUUGGCCUCUCAGCUCCUUCCAUCGAGGACGUCAAAGACAUCUAUUAUUUGGGGGGCACUUGCUGAUUGGGCUGGGCAUUGCUCUGGUGUAUCGACAAAUUCGGAAGACGAUGGCAGCCACUCAAGGAGCCCAACGGCUGAUCAAUGCAAAGGAAGGGCUGUGGGAACACAGACUCGUGCGAUUUCUGAGUUGAUUCGCAAAAUGGAUCUCAUCUUAGAAAAGUUUGCAGAGAAAGAAUAAUUAAUUGGAACUGAAAGAGAUCCAACAUGGACAACAGAGAAGAUAAGUCAAUAUGUUGUCUUCUCGAAGGAAAACAACUUUUUAUCUACGAUUUGGACUUCCUGAAUGGCCUUGGCAUGGAACAGGCUGUUCUGAAGGAAAUCUCCCGAAGACUCCUCAAGAUAGACGCUUUUGACCUUUCCUUUGUGUCAACAAAAUCUGUAGCUGAACUUUAUCGGCCUCAGCCAUACAAAAACAUUCACCACCUCUCCCGAGUUAAUUGGGCAUAUGAUAAUUGUGAAUGUGAAUUAUAUUUAUAUAGCGCUUUUUCUCUAGUGACUCAAAGCGCUUUACAUAGUGAAACCCAAUAUCUAAGUUACAUUUAAACCAGUGUGGGUGGCACUGGGAGCAGGUGGGUAAAGUGUCUUGCCCAAGGACACAACGGCAGUGACUAGGAUGGCAGAAGCGGUAAUCGAACCUGCAACCCUCAAGUAGCUGGCAUGGCCGCUCUACCAACCGAGCUAAACCACCCACAUAUAUGCACACACAUGACCCCUACCCUUGAAUCAACACCCUCCCCACCGCUUAUUUCCUCUGGGGUUGUGGAUGGCUGAGUGUUGCUACAGAGCGAACGGCGGGCCUGCGCAAACCCACCCCUCCCUCUGUUGCAAGUUGGUGUGAUACAUGUAUGUUUAAUGUGUGCCAUGCUAUGUGAGUUUUUUUCCUUGGACUCAGGCUAGACCUCUCCUGAGGGUCUAGCCUUGGACAGAUAUUUUUUUACUCCCCCCCUCACCUAAUGUCACCCUUUUCUUAUCUUCAUAAGGAGCGCUGUAACCGGCUGAUCCGUCGGCGGUCUCGUCUUGUCCCCCCCUGCUCUUAGCGGGACUGUGCCGAAAAUGUAAUUUCAGUUCUGAAGUGUCUUGUACAUGUAGGAACGGACAAAUAAAAAUUAUUCUCAUUCUGAUUCUGCUCUAGUGACUCUUAAGCACUUUUA